rnacentral:rRNA from 1 species
CUACGGGGGGCUGCAGUGGGGAAUAUUGCACAAUGGAGGAAACUCUGAUGCAGCAACGCCGCGUGGGGGAUGACGCAUUUCGGUGUGUAAACUCCUUUUAUAUGGGAAGAUAAUGACGGUACCAUAUGAAUAAGCACCGGCUAACUCCGUGCCAGCAGCCGCGGUAAUACGGAGGGUGCAAGCGUUACUCGGAAUCACUGGGCGUAAAGCGCGCGCAGGCGGCUAGAUAAGUUAGAAGUGAAAUCCUAUGGCUCAACCAUAGAACUGCUUCCAAAACUGUUUAGCUAGAGUCUGGGAGGGGAAGAUGGAAUUAGUAGUGUAGGGGUAAAAUCCGUAGAGAUUACUAGGAAUACCAAAAGCGAAGGCGAUCUUCUGGAACAGUACUGACGCUGAGGCGCGAAAGCGUGGGGAGCAAACAGGAUUAGAUACCCCGGUAGUC